UCUCAGAGUUGGACACGACUAAGCGACUAGGAACACUCCAAUAUGAUCCCACACACUAUUCUUCAGAGGGUCUGUCUCCAGCUUAUAUUCCCAGCAUCAGAGGAGGAGGGUUCCCUUUAAUCCACAGCGUCUACAGCACUUGAUGUUUGUAAAGGGCUUGACAGUGGCCAUUCUGACCGGCUUGAGGUGAAAGCUCAUUGCAGGGUUGACAGGCACUUCCCUGAUACUUAGCGAUGUGGACGUCAUUUUGAGUGAGUUUUUUCUUAAAGGAUGUGAGUUAAAGGUACCUGUUGAACUUGGCUCUGUGACCGUCUGCUAAGUUUUGAAUUAUUGUUUGUUGACCCUCCCUGAGAGACCUCUGGAGGGCAGUUGUUGUUUACUUACAGCCCCACGGACGUUGUGAAUACUGAGUGCCUGGAGAGAUUGAAGGCCGGAGAAAAAGGGGACGACACAGGAUGAGAUGGUUGGAUGGCAUCACCGACUUGAUGCACAUGAGUUUGAGUGAACUCCGGGAGUCAGUGAUGGACAGGGAAGCCUGGCGUGCUGCAGUCCAUGGGGUUGCAAAGAGUUGGACACGACUGAGGACUGAACUGAACUGCACACAGCUUUUAGAGCUGCUGUUACAACAAAUGGCCACAAGGCGGCAGCAUUGCUUUGGCUUCAAACUCCACUUGUAAAUUUCUUUUUCUGUGCAUUCUUGCUUUAUUUUGGAGUAGGGUUGAUUUCCAAUACUGUGUUUGUUUCACGUGUACAGGAGCUUGAUUCAGUGAUACACGGACAUUUAUCAAUUCUUUUUUGGGUUCAUUUUCCCCAGAUAGAGGAUUACAGUGUCUCCGGUAGGCUGCCCUUUGCUGUUCAACCAUUUUUUCCUGGUUUUCUGUUUGCUGUACAUUGAUGUAUGUUUGUUCCUUGCAAGCUCUUUAUUUGUCCCGCAUCCCUAACUUGAUUUUUAAAAUAAUCAUAAGUUGGUUUUCUAAGUUUGUGAGUCUGUUUCUACUGUGUAA